UCGGCUUCAGGUCUGUAUAACAGACAUUUGAGCUUCCACCGCUUCCCCAAGAAGACCAGCCUUCGUGUGCAGUGGCUGCACAAAAUAAGGAGGGUGGGAUUUUCGGUGACCCCCCCCACACCAAGGUAUGCAGCCGACAUUUUCAAGAUAAUGAAAUCCACACUACUGCUAAGGGUAGAUGGGUUUUAGCAGCAGGCUCUGUCCCAUCAUUAUUCGAGUGGAAUAGCUACACUACGAAGUCACGGGCCGGUGUUUGGGAACGCCGUUCUCGACCGCCAAGUCCGGGACCUGACUCGGCGGGGCCUGUGGAGCACAUCGGUCAUCCCGUCAUGGUUCCGAUGGUCGUGGACCACGACUACGGGGCCAGCCGUACUGUAUGUGUGGACCGGGAGCAGUAUGAAGAUGCGUUGAGCGAAAUCGAGACGCUGAGAGGGCAGCUCCAAACAUUUCAUCUUCAUCACUCCUUUGGACUUAAACGGUUUGCUUCGUCACCUGAAGACAUCAGAUUUUACACCAGAUUCUUCUCAUACGAGCAUCUGAUGGCGUUUUGAACCUGAUCGAGGCAGCAACAGCCAAAAUAGUUAGUCACCAGGUCAAAGAAAACCGAUGCCACUAGCACAACAACUGAAAGCCCUUUAACCAGACCAACUAAACUGCUACCGAUAGAUUAGCUCUUUCUCUUCCUCACAUACCUAUCCACUGGCUGUACCCAGAGAGAAUUGAGUCACAGAUAUCCACCGAACAACAGUCACCCGAAUCAUCAUUACCUGGGCCAACUUCCUCUACAGCUUACUGGGCUCGGUCUGUAUAUAGAUGUCUCCUGCAGCUGUGAAGGCCAGUCUUCCACAUGACUUUGAGGGCAUUUACAGCGACACGCAAGUAAUCCUUGACUGUACAGAGAUACGGUGUCAAACACCUUCAUCCUUGCUCCUUCAGAGCGAAGUAUUCUCAACCUAUAAGUCCCA